CACAACCUCCUCCUCCCCGGUUCCAGCAAUUCUCCUGCCUUAGCCUCCUGUUUGUUUUAAUAAAGAUAGGGUUGCACUUUGUUGCCCAGGCUGGUCUGAACUCCUGACCUCGGGUGAUCUGCCUCCCUCGGCCUCCCAAAGUGCUGGGAUUGCAGGCAUGAGCCCUUAGUCCUUCAGCAAGGGCCGGCCCUUGCUCCUUUCCUGAGCGGCUAUUUUGAGAGCGAUGGAGGGGAGAGGGUAUUAGAUUCCUGACCUUGAGGUCGGGGAGGGGAGGGUGAUGCUAGUGGUGGACGAAAGACUUGAAGAUAAUGAGAAAUUGCAUCAACUUUACCCAGGCUGUUUCUGGGUCUAGAAGCAAGCAAAAAUAAGGCGGGAGCGGGUGGGGGGAAGAAAAAGAGGCAUUUAUUUUGGAGCCGUAUCGGAAGCACAAGUGUCAUGGGCUGAAAGGCCGCCUUCUCCUGCGGGCUAAGGGUGUGGGCGACAGCUCGCACAUUCAAAUAAGGGAGCGAUUACACGGCGCUUGCUUCUGAAGACGGAUUUCCUGAGACUUUUAUGCGAGUGUGAGGGCCAGCAGGUGCACAUUUGAAGCUCAGUGGGAAGUGUUUUCCAAGCAACAGGAGACAGCAGAUGCAGAUGGGGUCCAAUUACUGCUGCUCACGGCUGAUCACGCCAUGCACUUGUGUGCGGAUACCUGGCUCCUGGUCUCAGGCACCUAGUAUGGGGCUAUGCACACGGGAACGCUCAUGGAUUCCUGAGAAGUUGGCUGGAACUAAGGGAGCAUUCAGAGACCACAGAUCCAGUUGACUGGUCCCUGCUGACAUCCAGUCCACGUUGUUGGCCACAUCAGCUCCUCUUCAAACUCAUGAUGCAAAUCAACAGCUAAACAUGUUGAUAUUUUUUGUUUCUCUCAGCUAAGUGGAUCCCUGAGUCCUCCUGGUGCAGUGGAAAGAUUUGAGUUUUGCAGCCAAAUAGAGUGAGGUUUAAAUGGUGGCUAAGCGGCUCACGCCUAUAAUCCCAGCACUUUGGGAGGCAUAGGCGGGUGGAUCAUCUGAGGUCAGGAGUUCUAGAGCAGCCUGGACAACAUGGUGAAAUCCCGUCUCUACUAAAAAUACAAAAAUUAGCCGGACGUGGUAAUCCCAGCUACCUGGGAGGCUGAGACAGGAGUAUUGCUUGAACCCGGGAGGCAGAGGUUGCAGUGAGCCAAGAUCGUGCCACUGCACCCCAGCCUGGGUGACAGAGUGAGAUUCCAUCUCAAUAAAUAAGUAAAUAAAUAAAUACAUAAAUGGUGGCUAAGCCACUUGCUUGUGAGCAAAAUGGUUAGCCUGCAUGAGCCUUGGUUUAUCCACCUGAUAAAUGAAGAUACUAACAGUCAACAUUAGAUAACCAUAGAGCCUAACUCAUAAGGCCAUUACGAGAAUUGAGAUGUUAGUUCAAGUAAAAUGGUGCUAUCAUUUGGAUGAUUGUCUACUCCAAGACUCAUGUUGACAUUUAGUCCCCAGUGUUGGAGGGUGGGCCUCAUGAGAAGUGUUUGGGUCACGGGGAAGAUCCCUCAUGAAUAGGUCAAUACCUUCCCUCGGGAGUGAGUGAGUUCUUACUCUACUAGCUCCUGCAAGGGCUGCUUGUUGAAAAAAGCCGGGUAUCUCCCUCUGCCUCUUUUGUUUUCUGUCUCCAUGUGGUCUGUAUACACACCAGCUUCCCUUCGCCUUCCACCAUGAGUGGAAGCAGCCUGAGGCGCUCAUCACAUGCCCAAUCUUGAACUUCUCAGCUCUCAGAAUUGUGUUCCAAAUAACUCUUUUCUUUAUAAAGUACCCAGC
rnacentral:lncRNA from 10 species